rnacentral:misc_RNA from 1 species
AGAAAGAUGCAUGGUGUCCUUGGGAGAUCAGGUAAUGACAUUAAAAAAGAUCCAGACAUAGAUGACAGUACCUUGUCUCGGAAAUCUCUGGAGGUGCUAAAGUUUAGUUCAUCUCCCACAGUUGUGUAUAUUCGUUGCUGCAAAUCACAGUGCUCUACAGAUGUGACAUUCUUUGCUUUGGAACCCAGUGGACGAUGGAGAGUUCUUGUUCUUCCACAGCAAUAUCUCUACCGUGAGAUCUGUUGGAAAUCACCUCAAUCAAAUGUAAAUAGCUUGCAA